GACGAACGCUGGCGGCGUGCCUAAUACAUGCAAGUAGAACGCUGAAGGAGGAGCUUGCUCUUCUGGAUGAGUUGCGAACGGGUGAGUAACGCGUAGGUAACCUGCCUGGUAGCGGGGGAUAACUAUUGGAAACGAUAGCUAAUACCGCAUAAGAGUAGAUGUUGCAUGACAUUUACUUAAAAGGUGCAAUUGCAUCACUACCAGAUGGACCUGCGUUGUAUUAGCUAGUUGGUGGGGUAACGGCUUACCAAGGCGACGAUACAUAGCCGACCUGAGAGGGGGAACGGCCACACUGGGACUGAGACACGGCCCAGACUCCUACGGGAGGCAGCAGUAGGGAAUCUUCGGCAAUGGACGGAAGUCUGACCGAGCAACGCCGCGUGAGUGAAGAAGGGUUUCGGAUCGUAAAGCUCUGUUGUAAGAGAAGAACGAGUGUGAGAGUGGAAAGUUCACACUGUGACGGUAUCUUACCAGAAAGGGACGGCUAACUACGUG
rnacentral:rRNA from 1 species